GCUUACUACCACACCGGCCUGAGUACGCCUGAUCUCGUCUGAUCUCGGAAGCUAAGCAGGUUCGGGCCUGGUUAGUAUUUGGAUGGGAGACAGCCUGGGAAUACCAGGUGCUGUAAGCA
rnacentral:rRNA from 1 species